rnacentral:rRNA from 1 species
UGUAACCGGCUUCGACCCCGGUUGUGCCGCAGCUAACGCAUUAAGUAUCCCGCCUGGGGAGUAUGGCCGCAAGGUUGAAACUCAAAGGAAUUGACGGGGGCCCGCACAAGCGGUGGAGGAUGUGGUUUAAUUCGACGCAACGCGAAGAACCUUACCAAGACUUGACAUCCACAGAAUCUGGUGGAAAUAUCAGAGUGUCCGCAAGGAAACUGUGAGACAGGUGGUGCAUGGCUGUCGUCAGCUCGUGUCGUGAGAUGUUGGGUUAAGUCCCGCAACGAGCGCAACCCUCGAUGCUAGUUACCAUCAUUAAGUUGGGGACUCUAGCGUGACUGCCGGAGCUAAUCCGGAGGAAGGUGAGGACGACGUCAAGUCAUCAUGCCCCUUACGUCUUGGGCUACACACGUCCUACAAUGGUAUAGACAAAGAGCUGCAAGCUAGUGAUGGCAAGCGAAUCUCAUAAACUAUAUCUCAGUUCGGAUUGUAGGCUGCAACUCGCCUACAUGAAGUUGGAAUCGCUAGUAACCGUAGAUCAGCAUGCUACGGUGAAUACGUUCCCGGGCCUUGUACACACCGCCCGUCACACCACGAAAGUUUGUCAUACCCGAAACCGAUGGGCUAACCGCAAGGGGGCAGUCGUCUAAGGUAGGGCCGAUGAUUGGGGUG